GCGGGAAUAGCUCAGUUGGUAGAGCCCCGGAUUGUGAUUCCGGUUGUGGCGGGUUCGAGCCCCUUUUCUCGCCUCA
rnacentral:tRNA from 1 species